AAGCUUUGGCAGCACAUAUACUAAACUAGGAAUGAUACAGAGCAGAUUAGCAUGGCCCCUGCGCAAAGAUGGUAUAGAAAUUCAUGAAACAUUCCAAUUUUUU
rnacentral:snRNA from 1 species